rnacentral:rRNA from 1 species
UUAAGCGACUAAGCGUACACGGUGGAUGCCCUGGCAGUCAGAGGCGAUGAAGGACGUGCUAAUCUGCGAUAAGCGUCGGUAAGGUGAUAUGAACCGUUAUAACCGGCGAUUUCCGAAUGGGGAAACCCAGUGUGUUUCGACACACUAUCAUUAACUGAAUCCAUAGGUUAAUGAGGCGAACCGGGGGAACUGAAACAUCUAAGUACCCCGAGGAAAAGAAAUCAACCGAGAUUCCCCCAGUAGCGGCGAGCGAACGGGGAGCAGCCCAGAGCCUGAAUCAGUGUGUGUGUUAGUGGAAGCGUCUGGAAAGGCGCGCGAUACAGGGUGACAGCCCCGUACACAAAAAUGCACAUGCUGUGAGCUCGAUGAGUAGGGCGGGACACGUGGUAUCCUGUCUGAAUAUGGGGGGACCAUCCUCCAAGGCUAAAUACUCCUGACUGACCGAUAGUGAACCAGUACCGUGAGGGAAAGGCGAAAAGAACCCCGGCGAGGGGAGUGAAAAAGAACCUGAAACCGUGUACGUACAAGCAGUGGGAGCCUCUUUAUGGGGUGACUGCGUACCUUUUGUAUAAUGGGUCAGCGACUUAUAUUCUGUAGCAAGGUUAACCGAAUAGGGGAGCCGAAGGGAAACCGAGUCUUAACUGGGCGUUAAGUUGCAGGGUAUAGACCCGAAACCCGGUGAUCUAGCCAUGGGCAGGUUGAAGGUUGGGUAACACUAACUGGAGGACCGAACCGACUAAUGUUGAAAAAUUAGCGGAUGACUUGUGGCUGGGGGUGAAAGGCCAAUCAAACCGGGAGAUAGCUGGUUCUCCCCGAAAGCUAUUUAGGUAGCGCCUCGUGAAUUCAUCUCCGGGGGUAGAGCACUGUUUCGGCAAGGGGGUCAUCCCGACUUACCAACCCGAUGCAAACUGCGAAUACCGGAGAAUGUUAUCACGGGAGACACACGGCGGGUGCUAACGUCCGUCGUGAAGAGGGAAACAACCCAGACCGCCAGCUAAGGUCCCAAAGUCAUGGUUAAGUGGGAAACGAUGUGGGAAGGCCCAGACAGCCAGGAUGUUGGCUUAGAAGCAGCCAUCAUUUAAAGAAAGCGUAAUAGCUCACUGGUCGAGUCGGCCUGCGCGGAAGAUGUAACGGGGCUAAACCAUGCACCGAAGCUGCGGCAGCGACGCUUAUGCGUUGUUGGGUAGGGGAGCGUUCUGUAAGCCUGUGAAGGUGUGCUGUGAGGCAUGCUGGAGGUAUCAGAAGUGCGAAUGCUGACAUAAGUAACGAUAAAGCGGGUGAAAAGCCCGCUCGCCGGAAGACCAAGGGUUCCUGUCCAACGUUAAUCGGGGCAGGGUGAGUCGACCCCUAAGGCGAGGCCGAAAGGCGUAGUCGAUGGGAAACAGGUUAAUAUUCCUGUACUUGGUGUUACUGCGAAGGGGGGACGGAGAAGGCUAUGUUGGCCGGGCGACGGUUGUCCCGGUUUAAGCGUGUAGGCUGGUUUUCCAGGCAAAUCCGGAAAAUCAAGGCUGAGGCGUGAUGACGAGGCACUACGGUGCUGAAGCAACAAAUGCCCUGCUUCCAGGAAAAGCCUCUAAGCAUCAGGUAACAUCAAAUCGUACCCCAAACCGACACAGGUGGUCAGGUAGAGAAUACCAAGGCGCUUGAGAGAACUCGGGUGAAGGAACUAGGCAAAAUGGUGCCGUAACUUCGGGAGAAGGCACGCUGAUAUGUAGGUGAAGCGACUUGCUCGUGGAGCUGAAAUCAGUCGAAGAUACCAGCUGGCUGCAACUGUUUAUUAAAAACACAGCACUGUGCAAACACGAAAGUGGACGUAUACGGUGUGACGCCUGCCCGGUGCCGGAAGGUUAAUUGAUGGGGUUAGCGCAAGCGAAGCUCUUGAUCGAAGCCCCGGUAAACGGCGGCCGUAACUAUAACGGUCCUAAGGUAGCGAAAUUCCUUGUCGGGU